GAAUCGCCAUCCUUACAGCAUCCUGCUACAUAUAUCUUUUGAUCAAGUACGCUAGCAGAAUUUGACUGUAGCUUCACUUGCAAGCAAGAAGCCUCGUGCCAUGUGUGAGACCAGCAAUUCACUUGAAUUACCCGAUUUACUAUAUUGAUAAACAUAUUUGGUAAUUGGUACUACUAUAUUUUUGUUUGGUUUGCUUUGUACUUUUUGGUCAUUUAUAGGUUUGUGCUAAGGCUCUGUUU